UUCUGUUGUAGCAGGAACCAGAGUUGGAGUGUACUCUGCGUGGAAGAUGGUUUUGUUUUUCAUAUUUGUGACUAAAAUAACAAGUUUGAUACCCCUGCAUUCUCAGUUGUGAUCAAAUGCACAAGACCUGCAUAAGUUCAAGCCAGACAAAAGUGCUGGCAUGGAGAGAGGAGAGAGGCACAAAGUCUCCAGCUAAGGAGCUAUUGACAGUUGAGAGCUGCUGGGAAAGGGAGAAUCGUUUGUUUUAAAGGUGUGUACUUUGGUGAUCCAAUCGCACUACAGUGGAAGACCACACAUCCAAGAUGUCUGGAGGAAAAGGUUAACAGCUGCUUGCCAGGUGACCAGUGGAAGUUUAUAAAAAGUCCUUUGGAAUAAGAAUGAAGCUUUAAAUGGCCAGUUUCAAGAACUUCAUUGAACUGUAUUUAAAAAAAAAAUGGAGUCUCAUCAAGAAGAAUGUAAAUAAGUCGAUGUUACUUUCACCCAGUUGCUUUCAGAAGGAACAGCAUUUUUAGGUGUGUAUUUCUUUGAGUUCUCUUCCUUCCUCUGGUACAAAUCUGUGGACAGAAGCUCUGACUCUCCGUCUCUCCCUGACUCUCUUUCUCUUUCUCUGUCUGUCCCUGUGUCUGGCUCUCUCUUUGUCUCUGUCUCUGUUUCUCUUUAUCCCUGCCCCCCUCCCCCCUUCUUUUGUUACCUCUGGCUUUCCGUGAAAGUCCAAGAACCUUGAAUCUUUGGAAACUACCCCAUUGAUUACAAAGUGUUUUGACAGGAAGCCUAUCUCAUCUGAACUCAGCAUGAUACAAUCUCUAGUCUUCUUGAGACAAGCUCUUUUCCUUGGCUGUAGUGUCUAUGAUCCUGGACUGACAUUUCUUAUCAGCACCUUAUGAAUGAGCAACUUGAAAUUCAGACACAAGUUUAUGGAUAGAGGAACAGAGGCUGCUCAGUCUGAUUGUCUUUAAAGUUUGAGACCUGCUAGAAGCCAUGUAGAAAUAUUAAACGAGAACAAAUAAA